AAACGCUACGAAUUAAUUCCAACACCUAAUAUGUUUUUCUAAAAACUUAUUGAUUUACCCUCGUAUAGAAUUCUUAUAACUAAUUUCUAUAACUUGGUUGGAAGAAUCAGAUCAUUGUUUUUGGCCUGAAGGAAUGAAAAAUAUCAGAACUGCAAUAGUUAAAGGAUUACCCGUGCAAGAUAAUUGAUAUAAAUAUAAAUGCAAUAUUAUCAGUAAACAAGUUAUUUAUGAGUCAGCUUUAAAGGCUGAAAAAGAGGCUGUUGCUCAGAAUCUGAAAAUGAUCGGGAAUUGGGAAAAAGAAAAGUUAAAUCUAAGAAAUGUAAUGAUUAUGUCGGUCCUCCAAAAUUGAUCUCAUAUACGUACAAGAAAUCAAAUAACACGGCAGGUAUUGAUGAAAAUGUGGCAAGCAAUUCAUUGGCGGAGCCAUUGGCAGUUUCAUUGACAGACAAAAACCAAAAUCUGGAAUAAAAUGCUGUUUUAAUUGAUGUCAUCAACAAUGCAGAUAUAAUAUAAUAAUUGAAGAGACAAAUGAUUUCACUAGAAUAAUAAAUGAUACGAAAAAAAUUAUAACCGAUAUUCAUUCUGAAAUAGAAAGUUUGAAAAACAAAUAAGAGCAAUCAUUUUCACUGAUUCAGGAAACUGUUAAUCUCAUUUUGGCUAAAAUAAAUAGUGAACGAUAUUCAAGAGAAGUUAUAAUGAAAGAUAAUAAAAUUGGAAAAUAUUUUCCACUAACUUCAAUUGAAAAUUUCCUCGAAUUCGAGCAUAUAUUGAACAACGAUUAGGAAGUUUUAAUAUAAGUCAUGAAUAAAGUUUUGCUAAUUGGAGGAAAAAAUGAGAAGGAUUUUAUUCGAAAGGUGCAAUUUUUACUGAUGUUUUAGCUUCAAUAUGUUAAUGGACAAGACAAAAACAAAAAUUUUAAAGAUACACAUGUUAUAAUAGGUAUCAAAAAUAAGUGCUUUUGUGACAAUUAUGACAAACACACGUGUGCAUACACACGCUAUACGCACACAUGCACGCACGCAUACAUGUUUGUGCACAGAUUAUGUUAGCAAUCCUGCAACUCGUUAUGAUUGAUUAUUUUUGACUUUAUUUUUUUCUCUACUUCAACUUUAAUUGACUUUAACUGAAUGCUUUGCGUUCUUUCAGUCUAGAAUAACAGUUCAAAGUAUUAAGAUAUAUUUGUGUUGUUGUAAUGAAAAUAAAAUCGCAUAAUAUCUCACAGCGACAUGCCACCUUUUAGUGUCUUAUAACUAACUUAUAAGAAGUUUUAUCAAGCUUUUUUUGCCAAAUUGUCGAAUUUUAUUUAAAAAAAAAAUGACAUUUUUGUACGAUAUAACGCAAUUUCAGACUGAAAGAAUGCAAAGCCUAAUCAAUCGAAGUUGGAGUAAGCAAUAAUCGAAGGUGAAAAUUAGUGACAAUCGGUUGCAGAGUUAACUAACACAAGAGGAAAGUAAUCUGUUUACUUUAUUAUCUGACGUAUAUUUCUAUCGUAUUUCAAAAUGUAUCAAUUAGAAUAAAAUAAAUCACAUACAAAUAAAAGA